rnacentral:rRNA from 1 species
AAUGAACGCUGGCGGCAUGCCUUACACAUGCAAGUCGAACGGCAGCAUGACCUAGCUUGCUAGGUUGAUGGCGAGUGGCGAACGGGUGAGUAAUGCAUCGGAACGUGCCUUUUAGUGGGGGAUAACGUAGCGAAAGUUACGCUAAUACCGCAUAUUCUCUGAGGAGGAAAGCAGGGGGCCUUCGGGCCUUGCGCUAGAAGAGCGGCCGAUGUCGGAUUAGCUAGUUGGUGAGGUAAAGGCUCACCAAGGCAACGAUCCGUAGCGGGUCUGAGAGGAUGAUCCGCCACACUGGGACUGAGACACGGCCCAGACUCCUACGGGAGGCAGCAGUGGGGAAUUUUGGGCAAUGGGCGCAAGCCUGAUCCAGCCAUGCCGCGUGAGUGAAGAAGGCCUUCGGGUUGUAAAGCUCUUUCGGCUGGGAAGAAAUCGCACUCUCUAAUACAGGGUGUGGAUGACGGUACCAGCAGAAGAAGCACCGGCUAACUACGUG